GCCGAUGUAGCUCAGUUGGUAGAGCAACUGAUUCGUAAUCAGUAGGUCGUCGGUUCGAGUCCGAUCAUCGGCUCCA
rnacentral:tRNA from 1 species